UACGUAGGCAGCAAGCGUUGUUCGGAAUUACUGGGCGUAAAGAGUGUGUAGGCGGUGCUCUAAGUUCGGUGUGAAAUCUCCCGGCUCAACUGGGAGGGUGCGCCGGAAACUGGAGUGCUGGAGCGCGGGGAGAGGAAAGCGGAAUUCCUGGUGUAGCGGUGAAAUGCGUAGAUAUCAGGAGGAACACCGGCGGUGUAGACGGCUUUCUGGACCGUAGCUGACGCUGAGACACGAAAAGCGUGGGGUAGCAAAACAGGG
rnacentral:rRNA from 1 species